GGUCGCGACUUUACGUUUUACACUGUAGUUCCGUCAUUUUCACGAUAAGUGAGUAAAACCGGGCUGCAGCAAAGACUAGUACUUCAUGAACAGCGCGCCUGAUCUGAACUUGCCAGGUUAUUCUCGCAUUCUUGACGUUAUAUUUCAUUAAUGGUUGAUUUAUGUCAUAAUCUGCCAUGGAAGACAUUACGCAAACAACGCUUCCUGAUCCAUUGCAGCAACAAGCAAUGUGCCAUCAGGAUGGCUUGGCCCUCUCCAGUCAUCUGAGCCCUCAGCUGAGGAUGUGCCCGAGCCUGAUGUAGAUGAGCCAAUGUCUAGUAGCCAUCUUGAUGACCAUGCUUCAAUCGAAGAUCCUCAACUAGUCAGGCUAGAAAGCCUGCAUGCCCAGAGAGAUCUACACAACCAGUUUGCCCAACGUAAUGCAUAGACAUUACUCCACCAAAUAUGUAGCAAACAACUCCACAGAGAGACAACAGGAUUUUGGAGGAUGUCCAUCAUAUGUUUGUGGACAUGGAGGAAAAACUAAAACAAGAUCCAACCACCUACGUAGAAUCGUACAAGGCUAUGCUCAGAGCAUAUGGUCGUUUAAAAACAGACAGUGCCCUUGUAUCAGCAAUCCGAAUGUUUGGCAGGUAUAGCGGAGUAAAUCUUGCUAAAAGGAAGGUGAAGUCGAAGGCAGGAGUCUCGGGUGGACUGCUACAGUCAUCUGGCCCCAGCAUCCCUGUUCAGCCCUCAGCCAUAUCACGCCGUCGACUGAAACUCGGAGGGAGGAGGAAACUAAAUAAGGGACGUCCAACCAAACAGUCUGCCAUGAAGAGCAAGCCUUUUCUAGACCAUCUUCAUCAGCCAUAAUUCCAUCCAAGAAAAAGCGUGUUGCUGCACCACAUUCCC